AGUGAACGCUGGCGGUAGGCCUAACACAUGCAAGUCGAACGGCAGCACAGUAAGAGCUUGCUCUUACGGGUGGCGAGUGGCGGACGGGUGAGGAAUACAUCGGAAUCUACUUUUUCGUGGGGGAUAACGUAGGGAAACUUACGCUAAUACCGCAUACGACCUACGGGUGAAAGCAGGGGAUCUUCGGACCUUGCGCGAUUGAAUGAGCCGAUGUCGGAUUAGCUAGUUGGCGGGGUAAAGGCCCACCAAGGCGACGAUCCGUAGCCGGUCUGAGAGGAUGAUCAGCCACACUGGAACUGAGACACGGUCCAGACUCCUUCGGGAGGCAGCAGUGGGGAAUAUUGGACAAAGGGCGCAAGCCUGAUCCAGCCACACCGCGUGGGUGAAGAAGGCCUUCGGGUUGUAAAGCCCUUUUGUUGGGAAAGAAAAGCAGCAGGUUAAUACCCCGCUGUUCUGACGGUACCCAAAGAAUAAGCACCGGCUAACUUCGUG
rnacentral:rRNA from 1 species